rnacentral:lncRNA from 1 species
UGCUUUGUGAGGAUUGAUUAAGCCUUCCAUUAUGUGACUAAGAAAAAAUCUUAUUUUUCAUUUCAGUCUACAGACAUGAAAAUUAUGGGAGCAUGCUCCAGUUUCCCAAAGACAAAGUCUAUUCAGACUAAACACAAAGGUUGUUUUUUUUUUGUUGUUGUUUGUUUGUUUUUUUUUGUUUGUUUGUUUUUUCCUGAAGUCCUCUGGAAUUUUGCC